rnacentral:rRNA from 1 species
AACGAACGCUGGCGGCAGGCUUAACACAUGCAAGUCGAACGCCCCGCAAGGGGAGUGGCAGACGGGUGAGUAACGCGUGGGAACAUACCCUUUUCUACGGAAUAGCUCUGGGAAACUGGAAUUAAUACCGUAUACGCCCUACGGGGGAAAGAUUUAUCGGGGAAGGAUUGGCCCGCGUUGGAUUAGCUAGUUGGUGGGGUAAAGGCCUACAAAGGCGACGAUCCAUAGCUGGUCUGAGAGGAGGAUCAGCCACAUUGGGACUGAGACACGGCCCAAAAUCCUACGGGAGGCAGGAGUGGGGAAUAUUGGAGAAUGGGCGCAAGCCUGAUCCAGCCAUGCCGCGUGAGUGAUGAAGGCCUUAGGGUUGUAAAGCUCUUUCACCGAUGAAGAUAAUGACGGUAGUCGGAGAAGAAGCCCCGGCUAACUUCGUGCCAGCCGCCGCCGUAACAC